GACGAACCGUGCGAACGUUGUUCGGAAUCACUGGGCUUAAAGGGCGCGUAGGCGGGCAAGCAAGUCAGGGGUGAAAGCCCACGGCUCAACCGUGGAAGUGCCUUUGAUACUGUUUGCCUGGAGGGAGGUAGGGGCGUGCGGAACUUCCGGUGGAGCGGUGAAAUGCGUAGAUAUCGGGAGGAACACCAGUGGCGAAGGCGGAGACCUGGGCAGAUAUUGACGCUGAGGUGCGAAAGCGUGGGGAGCAAACAGG
rnacentral:rRNA from 1 species